UACGGAAGGUGCAAGCGUUAUCCGGAUUCACUGGGUUUAAAGGGUGCGUAGGUGGGUUGGUAAGUCAGUGGUGAAAUCUCCGUGCUUAACAUGGAAACUGCCAUUGAUACUAUAGGUCUUGAAUGUAGUAGAGGUAGGCGGAAUGUAUCAUGUAGCGGUGAAAUGCUUAGAUAUGAUACAGAACACCAAUUGCGAAAGCAGCUUACUAUGCUAUUAUUGACGCUGAGGCACGAAAGCGUGGGGAUCAAACAGG
rnacentral:rRNA from 1 species